GUAACCUGCCUGUAAGACUGGGAUAACUCCCUUUAAACCGGAGCUAAUACCGGAUAGUUCCUUGAACCGCAUGGUUCAAGGAUGAAAGACGGUUUCGGCUGUCACUUACAGAUGGACCCGCGGCGCAUUAGCUAGUUGGUGGGGUAAUGGCUCACCAAGGCGACGAUGCGUAGCCGACCUGAGAGGGUGAUCGGCCACACUGGGACUGAGACACGGCCCAGACUCCUACGGGAGGCAGCAGUAGGGAAUCUUCCGCAAUGGACGAAAGUCUGACGGAGCAACGCCGCGUGAGUGAUGAAGGUUUUCGGAUCGUAAAGCUCUGUUGUUAGGGAAGAACAAGUGCGAGAGUAACUGCUCGCACCUUGACGGUACCUAACCAGAAAGCCACGGCUAACUACGUGCCAGCAGCCGCGGUAAUACGUAGGUGGCAAGCGUUGUCCGGAAUUAUUGGGCGUAAAGGGCUCGCAGGCGGUUUCUUAAGUCUGAUGUGAAAGCCCCCGGCUCAACCGGGGAGGGUCAUUGGAAACUGGGAAACUUGAGUGCAGAAGAGGAGAGUGGAAUUCCACGUGUAGCGGUGAAAUGCGUAGAGAUGUGGAGGAACACCAGUGGCGAAGGCGACUCUCUGGUCUGUAACUGACGCUGAGGAGCGAAAGCGUGGGGAGCGAACAGGAUUAGAUACCCUGGUAGUCCACGCCGUAAACGAUGAGUGCU
rnacentral:rRNA from 1 species